GGAUGUGAGGGUGAUCUGGCUGUGACAUGUCACCCCAUUGAUUGUCAGGGUUGAUUCGGUUUAUCUAACUGGCUAGGUAGGUGUCCCCCUCCUCCCCUAUCAUUCCAUGUGCAAAGUUCCCAAAGCUGCAUGCUUAGUCAAAGAGAAUGGUCAUCUUGGACAGAUGAGCACCAGUCUUCAGUCAAGGGUAUGCAAGUAGCUGAGCUCCCCUGCUAGAACCUCCAAACAAGCUCUCAAAAGACAGAGUUAAGAUAUGAAAAGGCAAUCCAAAGACUCAUAGGAUAUAUCUGUAACAUAUAGGUCUAACAAAGAACUUAUAUUGAGCAUGCGGUAUAUAUGUAC
rnacentral:snRNA from 1 species